UGGGGAAUUUUGGACAAUGGGGGAAACCCUGAUCCAGCCAUGCCGCGUGCAGGAUGAAGGCCUUCGGGUUGUAAACUGCUUUUGUACGGAACGAAAAGCCUCUUUUUAAUAAAGAGAGGUCAUGACGGUACCGUAAGAAUAAGCACCGGCUAACUACGUGCCAGCAGCCGCGGUAAUACGUAGGGUGCAAGCGUUAAUCGGAAUUACUGGGCGUAAAGCGUGCGCAGGCGGUUAUGCAAGACAGAUGUGAAAUCCCCGGGCUCAACCUGGGAACUGCAUCAGUGACUGCAUAGCUAGAGUGCGGCAGAGGGGGAUGGAAUUCCGCGUGUAGCAGUGAAAUGCGUAGAUAUGCGGAGGAACACCGAUGGCGAAGGCAAUCCCCUGGGCCUGCACUGACGCUCAUGCACGAAAGCGUGGGGAGCAAACA
rnacentral:rRNA from 1 species